AUGUUUGCAAUGUUUGCAGAUUGCCACUGCCCUCCCUGGCUCCUCGUGGCCUGGGGACACUUCCCCUGCUGCCCGAGCCCUGCCUGGGGCAGCCUUUGGAGAACUGCAGAGAAAUUGAUUUCAGUGAAACAGAAACUCCCCGGUGAAACCCCUUAUAUUGUGUUUUUAUUGCAGUUCCCCAGCAAUGGGGGUGCCAGGGGGGCUCCUGCCCAGGCCAGUGGUGGCCCUGUGGCCUCUCCUCCCCUCCCGGUUUUGGGGCAGCUCUCCCUGCUGGGGGAGGAGGUUUUGGAGGAAAUGCCCAACCCUGGAGGCCGUUGGGGCAGGAAACGCUUGGGGGGCUCCCCAAAGGGGCUCCUUGCCCUGGGGGAUUUUGGGAGGGGACGUGGGGACAGCCCUGAGGUGAACAUUGGAACCCUGAGGGUUCUCCGGCUCAGGAAAUCACCCGGUGCAGCCCCAUUCCCUGCAGUCAUGGCUUUAUUCUGGCCUUGCAGCCAAAAAUGCAAACUCUGCCCAGCUGGGCUGGCUCUGGGGGGCUGCAGAGGCAAAAAUCCCCCUGGGAAUGAACCCGGCCAGGCGUUUGGGGGUGCCCCAGGGCCGUGCCACCAGCGGGGCCACACAAACAGGGGACAGGGACACUGCUCUGCCCAGUGCCCAACCCAUCCCUGGAGAUUUUCCAGCCCCACAAAUGUGAGUUCUGCCCCACUGGGGCCACCCCAGAGCAGAACCGGGACCUCCAGAGCCUUGGGGUCACUGCUGUGGCUGCUGCCCCGGGGAGGGUGCAGAACCCCCCCACUCCAUGAAAAUAACCCCAAAAACCCCCAGCAAUGGUGCUGCUCUCACUGGGAGGCAGCUGCUCCCACGCAGGCAAAAGGAAGCUCAGCCUGGCAGCCGCUGCAGCCACUUCCUCUGCAAACGGGGCUGGGGCUCGGCAGAGUGGGGCCCAGAGCCUGGCCGUGUCCCUGUGUCCCCACUGUGUCCUUCUGUCCCCGCUCUGUGUCCCCGCUGUGUCCUUCUGUCCCCGCUCUGUGUCCCCGCUCUGUGUCCUUCUGUCCCCAUUCUGUGUCCCUGUGUCCCCGCUCUGUAUCCCUGUGUCCCCGCUCUGUGUCCCCGCUCUGUAUCCCUGUGUCCCCGCUCUGUGUCCCCGCUCUGUGUCCUUCUGUCCCCAUUCUCUGUCCCCGCUCUGUGUCCCUCUGUCCCCACUCUGUGUCCCCGCUCUGUCCUUCUGUCCCCGCUCUGUGUCCUUCUGUGCCCAUUCUGUGUCCCCGUGUCCCCAUACUGUGUCCCUGUGUCCUGACUCGUGUUCCUCUGUCCCGAUACCCAGUGUCCCUGUGUCCCCACUCCCCUGUUGCUGUGUCCCUGGACCCUGUGUCCCCUGUCCCCAUAUCCCGUGUCCCCACAUCUGUGUCCUGUGUCCCCACUACCGUGUUCCCGUGUCCCCUCUNACCAGGAAAUCCCACCCAGAAAAUCCCACCAUUACAGGGGAAAACCCUCAGGUUUCUCCUUUCAAUGUCAAAGCAGGAGUCUGGGUAA
rnacentral:lncRNA from 1 species